UACGUAGGUGGCAAGCGUUGUCCGGAUUUACUGGGCGUAAAGGGUGCGUAGGCGGGCAGGUAAGUCCGUGGUGAAAUCUCUGAGCUUAACUCAGAAACUGCCAUGGAUACUAUUUGUCUUGAAUUUUGUGGAGGUAAGCGGAAUAUGUCAUGUAGCGGUGAAAUGCUUAGAUAUGACAUAGAACACCCAUUGCGAAGGCAGCUUACUACACAACGAUUGACGCUGAGGCACGAAAGCGUGGGGAUCAAACAGG
rnacentral:rRNA from 1 species